AACGAACGCUGGCGGCAUGCCUAACACAUGCAAGUCGAACGAGACCUUCGGGUCUAGUGGCGCACGGGUGCGUAACGCGUGGGAACCUGCCCUUAGGUUCGGAAUAACUCCCCGAAAGGGGUGCUAAUACCGGAUAAUGUCUUCGGACCAAAGAUUUAUCGCCUUUGGAUGGGCCCGCGUUGGAUUAGUUAGUUGGUAGGGUAAAAGCCUACCAAGGCGACGAUCCAUAGCUGGUCUGAGAGGAUGAUCAGCCACACUGGGACUGAGACACGGCCCAGACUCCUACGGGAGGCAGCAGUGGGGAAUAUUGCACAAUGGGCGAAAGCCUGAUCCAGCAAUGCCGCGUGAGUGAUGAAGGCCUUAGGGUUGUAAAGCUCUUUUACCCGGGAUGAUAAUGACAGUACCGGGAGAAUAAGCUCCGGCUAACUCCGUG
rnacentral:rRNA from 1 species